rnacentral:rRNA from 1 species
UGGCCUUGACAUAAACAGAAUUCAGUAGAGAUAUAGAAGUGCUAGUUUACUAGAGCUGUUAUACAGGUGCUGCACGGCUGUCGUCAGCUCGUGUCGUGAGAUGUUGGGUUAAGUGCCGCAACGAGCGCAACCCUCGCUAAUAGUUAAUAACGGCUCGGCCGAUGACUCUAUUAGGCCUGCCUACGCAAGUAGGAGGAAGGUGAGGACGACGUCAAGUCAUCAUGGACCUUUCGGCCAGGGCUACACACGUGAUACAAUGGGGUAUACAAAGAGCCGCAAUACCGCGAGGUGGACCAAAUCUUAAAAAUAUCUACCAGUUCGGAUUGUAGUCUGCAACUCGAGUACACGAACGUUGGAAUCGCUAGUAAUCGUGAAUCAGCAAUGUCGCGGUGAAUACGUUCCGCGGGUCU